UGUUGGCUUGGUUGACUCCGAGGCCAUGGCCGCGUGAGGUACCAAGUUUACUGCGAAGCGAACACUUAACAUGCCACGCGUUGUUCAAGUGGGGCCCACCUAACAAAUCUCCAUCAAGAAAUGUAGAUGUUGAGCCUUCCAACUAAAAAUUCAAUCCCUCUUGCUCUCAAGAAUCAAACCCCAUCAAUUUUUAUAUGCGUCUGAUCAUCCAUGAGGUCAAAAUCCCUCCCAAUCCUAGCACAAUUUAUUAUAUAUAUGACCCUUGAAGGCUCAACCAGAAGUUGGGAAGGCUUUCUUCAUCCAAUUGAUCCUCCAUUUCUCUCUCUCUUCCUCUCCGUCUUCUCCAUCCUCGGGCUAUGACUAUGGCACCGAACAAGCUGGAUUCUGCGGGAAAUGCAAAUGGGUCAUGUUCACCAUCUGAGAAUGGUUUUGCCCGUUCCUUUUCUCUCUUUCCUGCCGAGGCAGACCAUGAGCUUCUUCAGUCUUCAAUACAGGAAUCAGAUGGUCAUCUUAUAGAAUUUUCUGAAGCCCUGAGAACUGUUGCAAAGGCCUUGAGGCGGGCUGCAGAAGGAAAGGCUUCUGCUCAAGCUGAGGCUGCAGAAUGGAAACGAAAAUAUGAGUUGGAAAGGGCACGGAAUCUGAAGUUAGAUUAUAAAGCAGUGCAGUCAUGCCUAGUGAAUCAAGGUGAUCAUGGUGAUGUGAAGAUGGAUAACCCAGCCAACAAGCCUGCAUUUUGCAAUGAAGCUGGUCAGGUGUCUGAAAGAUGUUGCUCAAGAAAUGGGAUUUGCUCUCAUGAGGUUUUAAGGGAUGGGAGUCCUGAUUCUGAUGCCAAGAUGGUUAGAAAGGCUUCAUUUAAACUUUCGUGGUGCUGCAAAGGUGAGCAAAGCGAUCAGCACAAACAUGACAUUGUCUCCUUUGAAAGAGGAAACAUAACCACUGCUGAGCGCAGCAGUAAGCAGAUAUCUUUGAAGUGGGAAUCAUGCCCACAGACGGUGCUCAUAUUGACCAAACCAAAUUCAGUUUCUGUCCGAAUUCUGUGUGCAGAGAUGACUAGAUGGUUGAGGGAGCUGCAGAAGCUAAACAUCUAUGUGGAACCACGUGUUAGGACAGAACUUCUAAAAGAGUCAUCAUACUAUAGCUUUGUAGAAACUUGGAAAGAUGAUAAAGAAAUUGCACUGUUGCACACUAAAGUUGACCUUGUGAUUACUCUUGGUGGGGAUGGCACCGUCCUAUGGGCAGCAUCUAUGUUCAAAGGACCAGUUCCUCCUGUUGUCCCAUUUUCCUUGGGUUCUCUUGGCUUUAUGACCCCUUUCCAUAGUGAACAUUACAGAGAGUACCUUGAAUCGAUAUUAAAGGGCCCCAUUAGCAUAACACUUCGGCACCGUUUACUAUGCCAUGUCAUAAGAGAUGCAGCUAAAAAUGAAUAUGAAACUGAAGACCCAGUUCUUGUUUUAAAUGAGGUCACUAUUGAUCGUGGUACAUCAUCUUACCUCACAAAUUUGGAAUGUUACUGUGACAAUUCUUUCGUCACGUGUGUACAAGGAGAUGGAUUAAUCUUAUCCACAACAUCUGGAAGUACUGCAUAUUCUCUGGCAGCUGGCGGAUCAAUGGUCCAUCCUCAGGUACCGGGAAUUUUGUUUACUCCAAUUUGUCCACAUUCACUAUCUUUUCGGCCACUGAUAUUACCGGAGUAUGUCACUCUUCGGGUGCAAAUACCAUUUAAUAGCCGAAGCCCUGCAUGGGCUUCCUUCGACGGCAAGGACCGGAAGCAGCUGGCACCUGGGGAUGCACUGGUGUGCAGUAUGGCACCCUGGCCUGUUCCUACUGCAUGUCAGGUUGAUUCCACAAAUGACUUUUUGCGAAGCAUACACGAAGGCCUCCAUUGGAAUUUGAGAAAGACUCAGUCAUUUGAUGGACCUAGGGAAUUGUAAUUUCUCAGUUCAGUUUCUUGCUGGCCAGUCCUUCACAGGAUGGCAUUACACAAAUCUCAACUUUGCGUCAUACUGCUGUUGCUUCUCACCGUCUUCUCCACUCCAUCUACAGGGGAGAAGUAUUACCUAAGAUGCAAAUCAAGCAGAGAUUGUGAUUUGAAUGGAAUUUGUCCUCCAUCCUGUCCUCCUGGCACCAAUACUUGCAUCUUCAACAACGCAACAAAAACUUCAAGUUGUCAUUGUUGUACACAAUCUCUCACAUAGAUAUCUCAUAAGGGGUUUUUGGGUUUGCUUAAAUUGACUAAAUGUAAGUGGAAAUAAGGACAGGUCCUACCUGUAAUAUCCAAGUCCAAUAUAGAAUAAAGUGGAGUUUAAUAUUACUAUUUA